rnacentral:rRNA from 1 species
AUUGAACGCUGGCGGCGUGCUUAACACAUGCAAGUCGAACGAAGUGGCGAACGGGUGAGUAAUACGUGGGUAACCUGCCCUCCUUUUUGGGAUAAGCCUUGGAAACGGGGUCUAAUACCGAAUAAAGGGGGAUGGGCUCGCGGCCUAUCAGCUUGUUGGUGGGGUGAUGGCCUACCAAGGCGGUGACGGGUAGCCGGCCUGAGAGGAUGACCAGCCACACUGGAACUGAGACACGAUCCAGACUCCUACGGGAGGCAGCAGUGGGGAAUAGUGCACAAUGGGCGCAAGCCUGAUGCAGUCAUGCCGCGUGUAUGAAGAAGGCCUUCGGGUUGUAAAGUACUUUCAGCGAGGAGGCGUUACUCGCAGAAGAAGCACCGGCUAACUCCGUGCCAGCCGCCGCGGUAAUUC